UUUCCGUAGGUGAACCUGCGGAAGGAUCAUUAUUGUAUAACCGAGGUGCGAGGGCUGUCGCUGACCCGAAAUGUCGUGCACGCCCGAGUGCCCUCACACACAUCCAUCUCACCCCUGUGUGCACCACCGCUUGGGUCCCCCUUUGGCUUGUUCGGAGGGGGGCUUACGUUUUCACACAAACUUUGUAUGCAGUGUAGAAUGUAUUUUUUGUUUUUGCGAUCACGCAAUCAAUACAACUUUCAACAACGGAUCUCUUGGCUCUC
rnacentral:misc_RNA from 1 species